UACGUAGGGGGCCAAGCGUUGUCCGGAUUUAUUGGGCGUAAAGAGCUCGUAGGUGGUUCGGCAAGUCAGUUGUGAAAUCUCCGCGCCUCAACGCGGAGGGGUCAGCUGAAACUGCUGUGACUUGGAGUCUGGUAGGGGAGUGUGGAAUUCCCGGUGUAGCGGUGAAAUGCGCAGACUAUCGGGAGGAACACCAGUGGCGAAGGCGGCACUCUGGGCCAGUACUGACACUGAGGAGCGAAAGCGUGGGGAGCGAACAGG
rnacentral:rRNA from 1 species